rnacentral:rRNA from 1 species
UACGUAGGGUGCGAGCGUUAAUCGGAAUUACUGGGCGUAAAGUGUGCGCAGGCGGCUUCGCAAGUCGAGUGUGAAAUCCCCGAGCUUAACUUGGGAAUUGCGCUCGAAACUACGGAGCUGGAGUGUGGCAGAGGAAGGUGGAAUUCCACGUGUAGCGGUGAAAUGCGUAGAGAUGUGGAGGAACACCGAUGGCGAAGGCAGCCUUCUGGCCAACACUGACGCUCAUGCACGAAAGCGUG